GGGAGAUAUACAAGUAGUCAAGGCCUUCAACAACUUGAUGAUGUCUGCCCUCAUUUGGAAGAUUCAAAAAUUUUCUUCAUGUCACAAAAUGCUACAACCUAGACAACAGUGCCAUUAUUAUUUUUUAACUGGGGC